rnacentral:rRNA from 1 species
UACGGGGGGAGCAAGCGUUGUUCGGAUUUACUGGGCGUAAAGGGCGCGUAGGCGGCCACCGCAAGUCGACUGUGAAAUCUCCGGGCUUAACCCGGAAAGGUCAGCCGAUACUGCGGGGCUAGAGUGCAGAAGGGGCAAUCGGAAUUCUUGGUGUAGCGGUGAAAUGCGUAGAUAUCAAGAGGAACACCUGAGGUGAAGACGGGUUGCUGGGCUGACACUGACGCUGAGGCGCGAAAGCCAGGGGAGCAAACGGG